rnacentral:tRNA from 1 species
GGUGGCUCAGUGGUAGAGUACUUGCCUUGCAUGCAUGAGGCCCUAGGUUCGAUUCCUCAGCACCA